rnacentral:sRNA from 1 species
GAUUCUGCCCUACGGGGAAGGAUGAGAAGCUUCGACCAAGGUUCGACUCGAGCGUAGCGAGAGAACGUUGCCGCAGGCAACGGCCCGAAGGGCGAGGAGCGAUAGCGACGAGUUAUCCUUCACCCACCACCA